rnacentral:pre_miRNA from 1 species
ACGUUUUAACGUAUAACGUUAUAUAGUAUUACGUGAUAACGCAUCGCGUUAUAUACUAUUACGAUAUAACGUAUUACGUUAUAACGU